rfam:Triticum aestivum genome assembly, contig: Triticum_aestivum_CS42_TGACv1_scaffold_223679_3B
GAGCUACUCCCUCCGUUCGGAAUUACUUGUCAUAAAAAUGGAUAAAAAUGGAUGUAUCUAUAACUAAAAUUCAUCUAGAUACAUUCAUUUCUUGGACGAGUAAUUCCGAACGGAGGGAGUAUAUA